rnacentral:rRNA from 1 species
UCAAAACGGGUGGUAAAUUCCAUCUAAAGCUAAAUAUUGGCGAGAGACCGAUAGCGAACAAGUACCGUGAGGGAAAGAUGAAAAGCACUUUGGAAAGAGAGUAAAACAGUACGUGAAAUUGUUGAAAGGGAAACGCUUGAAGUCAGUCGCGUCUGCCGGAACUCAGCCUUGCUUCUGCUUGGUGCACUUUCCGGUUGACGGGCCAGCAUCGGUUUCGAGCGGCGGACACUGGCUAGGGGAAGGUGGCGGCUCCGGUCGUGUUAUAGCCCCUAGUCGCGAACGUCGCCCGGGACCGAGGAAUCCGGCGCAAGCCUGGGAUGCUGGCGUAAUGGCUUUAAACGACCCGUCUUGAAACACGGACCAAGGAGUGCUACGUGCUCGCGAGUGUUUGGGUGGUAAACCCGGACGCGCAAUGAAAGUGAAAGUCGAUACCCCUCUCGGGGGCACCGACGCCCGAGCCUGAUGUUUUCGGAAGGCCUUGCGGUAGAGCGAGUGCGUUGCGACCCGAAAGAUGGUGAACUAUUCCUGAGGAGGGCGAAGCCAGAGGAAACUCUGGUGGAGGCUCGUAGCGGUUCUGACGUGCAAAUCGAUCGCAGGACUUGGGUAUAGGGGCGAAAGACUAAUCGAACCAUCUAGUAGCUGGUUCCUGCCGAAGUUUCCCUCAGGAUAGCAGAAGCUCAUAUCAGAUUUAUGUGGUAAAGCGAAUGAUUAGAGGCCUUGGGGUUGAAACAACCUUAACCUAUUCUCAAACUUUAAAUAUGUAAGGACGAGCCGUCACUUGAUUGGACCGCUCGACGAUUGAG